AAUUAGACUGAUUGAUACUUUGGAGCCCUGAGUUUUGAGGUUCUUUAAGUUCGUUGUGUCGUGUGGUGCAGUUUGAAGAGAGCCUGGAUAGUAGGAGAGACGUAACAAUACUUUUUGUCCCUUAGCUUUGACUUUCAACAAGAUAAGGAAUUUUUACCAGGCCUUUAGAUUCAUAAGCAUUUAAUUAUUAUUUUUAUUAAUAGACUGCAACUAAAAGACCUCUUAGAUGGGUGACUAAAGAUUAUGCACUUGAGUAUUUGACCAGAGACAUGUCUGAAAUGGAUUACUUCAAAAGUGACAUUUUAAAACCAAUAGUUGUAGAGAGAGUUUCAGGAACGGAAGGAAACAGACUUGUACAGGAGCACAUAACAUCCAUCCUGAAGAAACUUAGCUGGACAGUAGAACUUGAUACAUUU
rnacentral:sRNA from 1 species